rnacentral:rRNA from 1 species
CACAUAGUUAGCCGGAGCUUCCUCCUGAGGUACUGUCAUCUUCUUCCCUCACGACAAUAGUUUACAAUCCGAAAACCUUCUUCCUAUACGCGGCGUCACUGCGUCAGAGUUUCCUCCAUUGCGCAAUAUUCCCGACUGCUGCCUCCCGUAGGAGUCUGGGCCGUAUCUCAGUCCCAAUGUGGCCGUUCAACCUCUCAGUUCGGCUACUGAUCGUCGCCUUGGUAGGCCGUUACCCCACCAACUAGCUAAUCAGGCGCAAGCCCAUCUAUCAGCGGAUUACUCCUUUUCUAGCUGUAUCAUGUGAUACUACUAGCUUAUGCGGUAUUAGCAAUGAUUUCUCACUGUUAUUCCCCUCUGAUAGGCAGGUUGCUUACGUGUUACUCACCAGUCCGCCACUAACCGCUCUCAAUCUAAAAGAAUGAGUUAAGUUCGUUCGACUUGCAUGUCUUAUGUGCGCCGCCAGCGUUUAUCCUGAGCCAGGAU